rnacentral:rRNA from 1 species
UGCGCUGCUAUCUGCAGUCGAGCGGACAGAAGGGAGCUUGCUCCCGGAUGUUAGCGGCGGACGGGUGAGUAACACGUGGGUAACCUGCCUGUAAGACUGGGAUAACUCCGGGAAACCGGAGCUAAUACCGGAUAGUUCCUUGAACCGCAUGGUUCAAGGAUGAAAGACGGUUUCGGCUGUCACUUACAGAUGGACCCGCGGCGCAUUAGCUAGUUGGUGAGGUAACGGCUCACCAAGGCGACGAUGCGUAGCCGACCUGAGAGGGUGAUCGGCCACACUGGGACUGAGACACGGCCCAGACUCCUACGGGAGGCAGCAGUAGGGAAUCUUCCGCAAUGGACGAAAGUCUGACGGAGCAACGCCGCGUGAGUGAUGAAGGUUUUCGGAUCGUAAAGCUCUGUUGUUAGGGAAGAACAAGUGCAAGAGUAACUGCUUGCACCUUGACGGUACCUAACCAGAAAGCCACGGCUAACUACGUGCCAGCAGCCGCGGUAAUACGUAGGUGGCAAGCGUUGUCCGGAAUUAUUGGGCGUAAAGGGCUCGCAGGCGGUUUCUUAAGUCUGAUGUGAAAGCCCACGGCUCAACCGGGGAGGGUCAUUGGAAACUGGGAAACUUGAGUGCAGAAGAGGAGAGUGGAAUUCCACGUGUAGCGGUGAAAUGCGUAGAGAUGUGGAGGAACACCAGUGGCGAAGGCGACUCUCUGGUCUGUAACUGACGCUGAGGAGCGAAAGCGUGGGGAGCGAACAGGAUUAGAUACCCUGGUAGUCCACGCCGUAAACGAUGAGUGCUAAGUGUUAGGGGGUUUCCGCCCCUUAGUGCUGCAGCUAACGCAUUAAGCACUCCGCCUGGGG